AUAUACACAUUUUUUCUCUUUUGCUCAAAAUGUUGAUUAGAAAAGGAAAGCUGUGAGGAACUAGAGACUGUGUAACUGGAACACAAAAGACUCCUAGAGCAAAGCACCGUAGAGACUACUCAUGUCUUGGGUUCAUCCACUGCAGCUCUUCAUUAAUUAUUCUAAGCAAAGGAUUUGGGCCAGAUUUUCAAAGCUUUGAGACUGACUCAACCUCCAAAGAGUCCCAUCUGAUGAUGUCUUCACUGGGGGAAAUCCAAUGGCCUGUUGCUUCUCGGAUUCAUAGCUUUUUAAGACAAAAAGAGACCAAUAUGACAGUCAACUCUAUCCUCCUGUGAGUAAGGCACAAUACUGUUUGUGAUGGUGACAUACUGGGCACAUGGAUGCUGGAAAUGGAUUUUGCCUGUGUUUCAAGUUGGAAAUAAAUCU